GACGAACGCUGGCGGCGUGCUUAACACAUGCAAGUCGUACGAUGAAGCUGGAGCUUGCUCCGGUGGAUUAGUGGCGAACGGGUGAGUAACACGUGAGCAAUCUGCCCCUCACUCUGGGAUAACUGCGGGAAACUGUAGCUAAUACCGGAUACGAGGCUUGGAGGCAUCUCCAGGUCUGGAAAGAAUUUCGGUGAAGGAUGAGCCCGCGGCCUAUCAGCUUGUUGGGGAGGUAAUGGCUCACCAAGGCGACGACGGGUAGCCGGCCGGAGAGGGUGACCGGCCACACUGGGACUGAGACACGGCCCAGACUCCUACGGGAGGCAGCAGUGGGGAAUAUUGCACAAUGGGCGAAAGCCUGAUGCAGCAACGCCGCGUGAGGGAUGAAGGCCUUCGGGUUGUAAACCUCUUUUAGCAGGGAAGAAGCGAAAGUGACGGUACCUGCAGAAAAAGCACCGGCUAACUACGUGCCAGCCGCCGCCGUAA
rnacentral:rRNA from 1 species